UCAAAGGUCAUAGCUCAUUAAAUAUGCGAAUCUGGUUUCUGAUAUCGAUAACUUUAGUAAUGUUUGACGGAUUUUAAUCAAAUUUGAUAUGAAAGUACAUGGCAUCAAAACAUGGCCUUAGUUUGAUUUCCCAGUAUGUACCCUGCGAGGGGAUGCUAUGCUUUGCGUUGACUUGUUUUAUUUAUGUCAUUUAGCAUUAUGAAUGAGGGCUCAUUAUUUGUAUUUAUUGUAAUAUAUUGAUAUUGGUAUUUUAUUAAAUGUAAUUUUUUGUUUUGUUUUGUUUGUAUUUUAGGUUACUGAGAGUUGAAGAGAGAGUUGCAGAAAAUUUGAUAGAUCUACUCUUACUGUUGGACAGUUACUGAGAGAGAAGCAAGGAGGCAGAGGUAAAUAGAACUCUUAUUGUUGGACAGUUACUGACACAGAAGCAAGGAGGCAGAGGUGAAUAGAACUCUUACUGUUGGACAGUUAAUGAGAGAGAAGCAAGGAGGCAGAGGUAAAUAGAGUUGUUACUGUUGGACAGUUAUUGAGAGACAAGCAAGGAGGAAGAGGUGAAUAGAGCUGUUACUGUUGGACAGUUACUGAGACAGAAGCAAGGAGGCAGAGGUGAAUAGAGCUCUUACUGUUGGACAGUUACUGACACAGAAGCAAGGAGGCAGAGGUGAACAGAACUCUUACUGUUGGACAGUUAAUGAGAGAGAAGCAAGGAGGCAGAGGUAAAUAGAACUCUUAUUGUUGGACAGUUACUGACACAGAAGCAAGGAGGCAGAGGUGAAUAGAACUCUUACUGUUGGACAGUUAAUGAGAGAGAAGCAAGGAGGCAGAGGUAAAUAGAGUUGUUACUGUUGGACAGUUAUUGAGAGACAAGCAAGGAGGAAGAGGUGAAUAGAGCUGUUACUGUUGGACAGUUACUGAGACAGAAGCAAGGAGGCAGAGGUGAAUAGAGCUCUUACUGUUGGACAGUUACUGACACAGAAGCAAGGAGGCAGAGGUGAAUAGAACUCUUACUGUUGGACAGUUAAUGAGAGAGAAGCAAGGAGGCAGAGGUAAAUAGAACUCUUAUUGUUGGACAGUUACUGACACAGAAGCAAGGAGGCAGAGGUGAAUAGAGCUCUUACUGUUGGACAGUUAAUGAGAGAGAAGCAAGGAGGCAGAGGUAAAUAGAGUUGUUACUGUUGGACAGUUAUUGAGAGACAAGCAAGGAGGAAGAGGUGAAUAGAGCUGUUACUGUUGGACAGUUACUGAGACAGAAGCAAGGAGGCAGAGGUGAAUAGAGCUCUUACUGUUGGACAGUUACUGACACAGAAGCAAGGAGGCAGAGGUGAAUAGAACUCUUACUGUUGGACAGUUAAUGAGAGAGAAGCAAGGAGGCAGAGGUAAAUAGAACUCUUAUUGUUGGACAGUUACUGACACAGAAGCAAGGAGGCAGAGGUGAAUAGAGCUCUUACUGUUGGACAGUUAAUGAGAGAGAAGCAAGGAGGCAGAGGUAAAUAGAGUUGUUACUGUUGGACAGUUAUUGAGAGACAAGCAAGGAGGAAGAGGUGAAUAGAGCUGUUACUGUUGGACAGUUACUGAGACAGAAGCAAGGAGGCAGAGGUGAAUAGAGCUCUUACUGUUGGACAGUUACUGACACAGAAGCAAGGAGGCAGAGGUGAAUAGAACUCUUACUGUUGGACAGUUAAUGAGAGAGAAGCAAGGAGGCAGAGGUAAAUAGAACUCUUAUUGUUGGACAGUUACUGACACAGAAGCAAGGAGGCAGAGGUGAAUAGAGCUCUUACUGUUGGACAGUUAAUGAGAGAGAAGCAAGGAGGCAGAGGUAAAUAGAGUUGUUACUGUUGGACAGUUAUUGAGAGACAAGCAAGGAGGAAGAGGUGAAUAGAGCUGUUACUGUUGGACAGUUACUGAGACAGAAGCAAGGAGGCAGAGGUGAAUAGAGCUCUUACUGUUGGACAGUUACUGACACAGAAGCAAGGAGGCAGAGGUGAAUAGAACUCUUACUGUUGGACAGUUAAUGAGAGAGAAGCAAGGAGGCAGAGGUAAAUAGAACUCUUAUUGUUGGACAGUUACUGACACAGAAGCAAGGAGGCAGAGGUGAAUAGAACUCUUACUGUUGGACAGUUAAUGAGAGAGAAGCAAGGAGGCAGAGGUAAAUAGAGUUGUUACUGUUGGACAGUUAUUGAGAGACAAGCAAGGAGGAAGAGGUGAAUAGAGCUGUUACUGUUGGACAGUUACUGAGAC
rnacentral:lncRNA from 1 species